GGUGAACCAGCGGAGGAUCAUUA
rnacentral:rRNA from 1 species